GAUAAAGAACGUAGCGAAAUGCGAUACGUAAUGUGAAUUGCAGAAUUCAGUGAAUCAUCGAAUCUUUGAACGCAUAUUGCGCUCUCUGGUAUUCCGGAGAGCAUGCUUGUUUGAGUAUCAGUAAACACCUCAACUUCCAUAUCUUUUUUGAAAUGGGAGUUGGACUUGAGUGAUCCCAACGCUUUUCCUCACCGAAAAGUGGCGGGUUACUUGAAAUGCAGGUGCAGCUGGACUUUUCUCUGAGCUAUAAGCAUAUCUAUUUAGUCUGCCUAAAAAACAGAUUAUUACCUUUGCUGCAGCUAACAUAAAGGAGAUUAGUUCUUGUGCUGACUGAUGCAGGAUUCACAAAGACAGGCUUCGGCCGACUUUGUAAACUCGAUCUCAAAUCAAGUAAGACUACCCGCUGAACUUAAGCAUAUCAAUAAGCGGAGGA
rnacentral:misc_RNA from 1 species